UACGAAGGGGGCUAGCGUUGUUCGGAAUCACUGGGCGUAAAGGGCGCGUAGGCGGCAGGCCAAGCGUGCGGUGAAAGUCCGGGGCUCAACCCCGGAUCUGCCGUGCGGACUGGUUUGCUAGAGCACUGUAGAGGCGAGUGGAAUUCCGGGUGUAGCGGUGGAAUGCGUAGAGAUCCGGAAGAACACCGGUGGCGAAGGCGGCUCGCUGGGCAGUGGCUGACGCUGAGGCGCGACAGCGUGGGGAGCAAACAGG
rnacentral:rRNA from 1 species